rnacentral:misc_RNA from 1 species
GCAAAAUCGCAGCCUCAAGCUUCGUUGGUGUGCAACCCGGCAAAACAGAAGAGUGAUCUUAAGGUUCAGGAUGAGAAUUUGGCUUCUGCAAGCAAUCAAGCACAGGAGAAAGUAUUGCCAUCAAGCCUACAACAGGCUGCUGUCAUCGUAGCAUCAUCUACUGCUGAGAGCCAUCCGAUGAGUUCCCAUAAGGUGGCAGAUCGCAAUGAUAUCAAGCAAAUUUCUGGUUUGU